rnacentral:rRNA from 1 species
GACGAACGCUGGCGGCGUGCUUAACACAUGCAAGUCGAACGGUGAAGCUCCAGCUUGCUGGAGUGGAUCAGUGGCGAACGGGUGAGUAACACGUGAGCAACCUGCCCCUGACUCUGGAAUAAGCGCUGGAAACGGCGUCUAAUACUGGAUACGAGAAGGGUCCGCAUGGGCACUUUCUGGAAAGUUUUUCGGUUGGGGAUGGGCUCGCGGCCUAUCAGCUUGUUGGUGAGGUAAUGGCUCACCAAGGCGACGACGGGUAGCCGGCCUGAGAGGGCGACCGGCCACACUGGGACCGAGACACGGCCCAGACUCCUACGGGAGGCAGCAGUGGGGAAUAUUGCACAAUGGGCGAAAGCCUGAUGCAGCGACGCCGCGUGAGGGAUGACGGCCUUCGGGUUGUAAACCUCUUUCAGCAGGGAAGAAGCGAAAGUGACGGUACCUGCAGAAGAAGUACCGGCUAACUACGUG